rnacentral:rRNA from 1 species
UACGAAGGUGGCUAGCGUUGUUCGGAAUCACUGGGCGUAAAGCGCACGUAGGCGGAUUUGUUAGUCAGGGGUGAAAUCCCGGGGCUCAACCUCGGAUCUGCCUUUGAUACUGCAAGUCUCGAGUCCGGAAGAGGUGAGUGGAAUUCCUAGUGUAGAGGUGAAAUUCGUAGAUAUUAGGAAGAACACCAGUGGCGAAGGCGGCUCACUGGUCCGGUACUGACGCUGAGGUGCGAAAGCGUGGGUAGCAAACAGG